CCAUUUAGCAAAUAGUGCUAGGAUGCCGAGAUUCCUCCCACUUGGGCAUUGUGUCCCAGACUGACACCUGAAACAGGGGUAAAGGGACAGGGAUGAGCACAAGCCUCUCUGAUUUCAAACUGGCCCUGGGAAAAGAUGAAAGAUGAAAGAAGAGCCUCCUGAAGAAGGGUCACCUGGGGAACAGCGUGUGUGGUCUAGUUUCUGAAGGCCUCCUAAGUAGCCGGGAACCUUUUUUUCCUACAGGUUCAACAGAGCAGACACGGGUCUUGGUCGGGGGGGCAGGAUCAGUUCUGUGCUGGAAAGAACUUGCUUCUAGUUGGAGCUCUAAAAGGGAGGAGGCACUAAGCAUUGCCUUGGGAAAAGGCAAGCGCUCCAUCCAGAGAGGUGCUCAAGGCUGGACAGCUCCCUGUCUGAAGGAAUUCUGGUUUUAGUGGAAGGCUGAAGUAGGUGCCCUGGGAAUUUUCAGACUCAAGUUCUCCAGUCUUGUGGGUCUUUCUAAAAGUGCCAGGUACUAUGUCCCACAGAAGAAUGGUCCCUGUAGAGAAACCAGAUGACUCUCUCUGGCCCCGGGGACCCCACCUUUUAGUAGCAGUAGCUCUGCUGAGAGUCCUGCCUCCCGGUCUGGUCCCUUAGCCUGGGAAGGGGCUCCGGACCCUGGAAGAGGACCGGAAUUCCGAGAUCACCCAUUGGCUUAGAGGCGCCAUGUGAACGGUGCUGGUUGGUUGGCGGGAGGGAGGGGGAGGCGGUUUCCCGGGUAACGGGAGGGCAAGGAGCGGCUGCAGCGGCAGCGGCCGCGACUGAGAAGCGCGGGCCGGAGCGCCGUGCAAGACCGGCUGGAGGCGGCGGCUCCGCGAAGCCGCGUGGGCGCAGGUAUCCCCUCCCUACCCUGGCUCCAGUACAAGGACGGUGACAGCCCCAGACGUGGUGGAGACCGACUCCCAGGAAAAAAAAACAAAAGGCUCGCAGGAGGUAUUGAACAUCCUCCCACUCCCCACUGACCGGGAGGUUUUUCUGUGGCAAGGACGUCUGCGCCCAUGUGCACUUG
rnacentral:lncRNA from 1 species